rfam:Dipodomys ordii contig_46077, whole genome shotgun sequence.
GGGAAGGUGGCUCAGUGGUAGAGCACUUGCUUGCAUGCAUGUGGUCCUGAGUUCGAUUCCUCGGCCCACAUA